UUAUAUUUUUCGACAUCAGUUCCAAUCUGCACCCAGCAAUAUUCGGUUCUUCACUACGUGGAUAUUGUGUGUGGCCAAUUGUAGAGAAUAGUUUUUGUUGAGAGCAACGGCGAAAACAUGAAACUGUUUUUAAUUCUUGUUUUGGGUAGUUUCCUUGUCUUGAGUCUAUCAAAUGUUGCAGGCGAACCAACAUGUCCACCACGUCCAGGCCCUUGUCGAAAUAUUGUCAGCCCUUGUCGCAACUACCCGUGCAACAAAAGUGGUGGAGAGAUUUGUUGUGUGGAUGACGCAGAUUGCAGCGCUUUUUGCGUUUCAUAAUAGUAUUUACAUACAUAAUUCGUAUUUGUACACAACCUAUAAAAUACAUAAUUGCAAAUAAAAAUCCAGACUCGUUAUGUUUCUGUGGCAUAUACA